rnacentral:hammerhead_ribozyme from 1 species
CUGAUGAAGAGUCCCAAAAUAGGACGAAACAGUUGUCCAG